rnacentral:rRNA from 1 species
AUUGAACGCUGGCGGCAUGCUUUACACAUGCAAGUCGAACGGUAACAGGGAGCUUGCUCCGCUGUCGAGUGGCGAACGGGUGAGUAAUAUAUCGGAACGUACCCAAGAGUGGGGGAUAACGUAGCGACAGUUACGCUAAUACCGCAUACGAUCUAAGGAUGAAAGCCGGGGACCUUCGGGCCUUGUGCUCCUGGAGCGGCCGAUAUCUGAUUAGCUAGUUGGUGAGGUAAAGGCUCACCAAGGCGACGAUCAGUAGCUGGUCUGAGAGGACGACCAGCCACACUGGAACUGAGACACGGUCCAGACUCCUACGGGAGGCAGCAGUGGGGAAUUUUGGACAAUGGGCGCAAGCCUGAUCCAGCAAUGCCGCGUGAGUGAAGAAGGCCUUCGGGUUGUAAAGCUCUUUUGUCAGGGAAGAAACGGGAUUGGCUAAUAUCCAGUCCUAAUGACGGUACCUGAAGAAUAAGCACCGGCUAACUACGUG